GAUUUCUGAUAGCAAGAGCAAAAAAGAGUGGAAAAGUACUCAGCUGCCUGCAGUCCAAUAACACAGCAGCUUACUGACGUGCGUGAUAAUGUCGAUUCUAUUUAAAAUGGCCAUAAAUCCCAUUGGCCUAAUGCAGCAUCCUGGCUGUCCAGAGGUGCUAACACAGCUUUGGGUGCAGGCCUCCAGUGAUGUAAACUGGUGCAAACUGGUGCAGCUCAGCCAGCGGCAGUGAAGAAGCUUCAUCCUCGCCUGCUGAAUAUUUGGAACUGUGAUGCUUCAUGACCGUAUCUUUGCAAAAAGCACACUCUGAAUUAAUGCUUGCACUUGUGGGAAAGCAUUUGGAUGAAAAACGUAAUCAGCCAUUGUCGCUGCGAGUGUCUGGAUUCAAUGACUGAAAGUUGGCAUCGGUGUGUAAAAUAUAAAAUAAGGAAAUGUUUUUUUUCUCCCCUGGGUGGAGAUUGGGAAGAGAACAGGUUCUGUGCCAUUUCUCCAGUGAGCGGAAGGGACCGGAGGGAUUUCAGUUCUUGGAAAACUACAAAGGUCGCUGACACUUGUCCUUGCCUCAACUUGGAGGCUGCCCAGAUUCUGGAAAGGAGCUACUACUUCCGCCCCAUGUCCUGAGUGUGUGGCACUCUGGUAACUUUCCGGGAGUGGAUAAGCUGCAUGAAGGGCCUCUGAGGGGCUGCUGCCUCCCAUCCCACGAGGCCUGGCUCGCAGGGAGCUGCAGGCUGGCCACUGGCAGUUUUGGGAAUGGACCGUGGAGCCCACAGCAAAAAGAGGCGUGGACAUAUUGGAGUGAACUCAGUGAAGGCCCAUGAAGAUGAUGAAGGUCCUGAAGCACCUCUCCUGUGAGGAGAGACUGAGAGAACUGGGACUGUUCAGCCUGGAAGAGGGAAUAAAUACCUGAAGGGAAGGUCCAAAAAUGGAGCCAGGCUCUUGUCAGUGGUGGUCAGUGCAAAGGCAAGAAGGAAUAGGCUUCAACUGAAACACAGGAGGUUCCCACUGACCAUCAGGAAGCAGUUCUGUGGUGUGCGGGUGAUGGAAAACGAUCUGCCCAGAGAGGCUGUGGAAUCUCCUGCUUGGAGAUCUUCUACAACCUCUGGACAUGGUCCUGGGCACCCUGCUCUGAGUGUCCCUGCUUGGGCAGAUGUUGCAUCAAAUGGAUCCACAGGUUCUUUCUAAUCUCAACGAUUGUGGGAUUCUGAGAUCUUUGGUCACCACUUUCCCAUGAUGAGCUAGGGCUUCUUUCCUGCAGUGCGUGCUGAAGGCUGAGUUCUCCACAGCUUGUCAGUCAGACAGACUUUGGGGGAGGGAGCAAGGGGUAGCAUGGCAGAAACAUGCUGGUGGAGAAAAACCCAAUGGAGCUUUCACUGUUCUGGGAAUUUGGACUGGCGUUCUGUGAGGAAUAGCUGAAGGAGCAGAAAGCUGUGCAAAUCUGAAGGAAAUCUCUUACUGCUGUGGCCUUUGCUGGAGAGAUAGACCCAGCUGGGACUGGAAGUCCCCUGCAUUGCACGACUGAGACCAAGAGAUGCUGCAGAAGCAUCCCAACCCCCCCCAUACCCACAGGCCUGCCUUGCAUCUGAGUGCCUUCAUAAACACAGUCACGCGGAGCACUGCCUUGGUGCUUGCCUUACAGCACUCUCAUUUGUUUUGCAUUUACAUAAAUGGCUUUUGGAAGAAACAUUUUAACUUGGAGCAAGACUGACAGAAGAUCAGUUGGCACUGACACCACAGCCAUGCAUUUCGUCAGGGAGUGUGCCCGAGCCCCACACUGGCCAACCCUUUCUUCCUCCAGCCAUCACUGGAUUUUAACACUUUAACCUCAGAUGCAGCAGAGGGAAGUGUUCAGCUCCCUUGCACUGGUGUGAAUGUACAUUUCCUGGGUCACAGGCAGAAGUGUGCAUUUUGGAAUCUUUUUGUUUCAGAACAAAAGGUUUUGAAUUCCUCUUGCUAUGAGUGGAUGCAAUGCAAUGUAGUUGCUGCAAGCAGCCACACCAUGGCACUAACAGUGAAAAUGGGCUCUGGCCAGAGCCCUGAGCUCAUGUCAAAACAUGCUAGAAUAGCACAUUUUACUACAGAACAGGAAUGUUAAUGUGAUACAAUCAAAUAUUAUAUUGCAAGGAAAUUACAUGUCCCAAACCAUUGCAAUAUCCAUGACCCUGGGGAAGCUCUUUCUCCCCAUCUGUGUUUAUACUUGCGCCAACUUGCUUUUCCCACAAAUGUCUUUUUGCUGUUGUCCUACAAGCAAAGCUCUCACUCCUGGCCCAUCUGCAUGGCCAUGGCACCCUGCAUCUUGUGCAAGGAGGAUGGGACAGCUGGCCCCACAGCUGUAGGGAAGUUGGCCUGCUUACCGCCAGCUCGUUUCGCAACAGCAGGCUCCAGAAAGUGCUUGUUGGGGCCUAUCUAUCUGAACGUGGGGCUGUGCCACCUCUCGCCCCUCCAGCAGUUUGUGCCCCAGUUGGGGGGCUGCUGGGGCACCCAGGGGAGGAUGCUGUGAGCAGAUGUAGGUUUUGUGGGGAGGCAAUUUGCCCAGCCAGCUGCUGCGAUGUCCCCUGACAUGCUGGGCACUAUGGCUGAAGCCUGUGGCACCCCUCUGCAUUUUCCCCCUUGGAUAAGGCUGAGUGUCCCUGGUCCAGUCCUUCCACUAGGCCCAGAGAGGGGCUACUGGCGGAGGUGUGCUCUCACGUGGGAGUGAAAUAGGGGUGUGUGAUUACAUGGCUCAUGUGGGUCAGAUGUCUCCUGAUAUUUCACUAAAUGAGGAAGACACUUUAAUUACUAUGUGUCAUUGCUGCAGAAUAUCAAAGUGUCUUUAAGGGUUGAAGCUAUUCUACAGACUGGGAGAGAGCCAUCACAUGGGGAAGUGAUGGAUUUGCAAGCCAGAGCCUUUUAUUAGUCACUAGUUGUCUCCCUUUGAGAGCUGUAAGUUAGGGGAUCAAAACAGACUACGUCAUGAAGAACAGUUAAGCAAGCCUUUAACGUUAUUUCACUCCAGUGGUUGGCAGGCCUGUAUUUCCUUGGUUUCUUUAUAUGGAUUUGUUGAUCACUUCUGAAGAACACCUCUUUUACUCUGCAGGGAAAGGGAGAGGGGGGGAGCGAAGGGGAGGAGAAGGGAGAGGAGAGAAGAGGCUCCUCAGGCAGAAGAAAGCACCUGUAGGAUCCCAGCAGCACAGGAACCAGCUAAGAAGCAGCUCUUCAGAAUCAUAACUGAAUUAAAACUUAUUCUAAGUCCUGUGCUUGGCAGGGAUCUUUGGGAGCAAGUAAUGCAUACUGCUAUCAAGGUACCCCAGAGAAGUGCCCAGGCGAGCCAGGCUGCUGCUGUGCUCCAUCCAGGAAUGCACACAGGGCCUGGGUGCUGACCAGCAACUUGGAAAGCUGAAUCAGUCAUGAGUGUCAAGCAGGCAGCAUCGCAAACCUCAGGAUGUGUUUGUUGCCACAACUUGUAUGAUUUUCAUCAGCUUUUCAAACUGGAGCCAGUAAUUUCCAUUGUUGCUGGGGGAGGUGGUUGGAAAGAGGAAGAAAGGCUGUAUUAUGGAAGAACUUGGAUUUUUUGUCCUUUUUUUUUCUGUCAGUAGAUAAUUUUUUUGUGGUCAAACUACUAAAUGUUUAUUUUCUGGAUUUUUCUAAGGAUGAACUUCUGUUUUGGGGAAGCAGAUCAACUAUGAAAGCUAUAAAACAGUAUCCUAGUUUUCUAUCAAAGAGGGAAAAAAGUCUUUUUGUCUAAUCACUGUUUUCAAUGGUAUCACACUGACAUUUUAGUAUGGACCUUCUUCAUCCUCAAUGGUUUUGUCCUGUGGAAUAAGCCUGCAUGUUGACAACCCAGGGAACAGCUCUCCAUGGCUCUCCAGAACCUGGGCCUUACCACCACCACUUCCAGGAUGCUGUUCCCUGCUGCCUGACUGCCCACCCAGAGUCGCCCACCUCGACAGCACCUUGUACUCUCUUCUACACCUCUUCUGCUCAUUUGUCUAAUUGUGUCUUUUGAGGGGCUGAUUUGGAUCAGGUCCAAUGCUAAGGGCAUUUGGAUGUUUGUUUUGGUGAAAUUGGGCCUCAGCUGAGCUCUACAUUCACUAAGUAUAGGUACUCAUGUUAUUGUCUGUUCUACAUAGGACAAUCCUGAGUUUCCACUGCGAGAUCAGUGUGGCAAGCACUCUAGACAAAAGAUUGCCUACAAGCUAAUACCAUUUUAACAAUAGAAGACAUAUUUUCAGAUCUGGAAUUCAGAUGAUGUAGGUCUGUGUGGUCAGAGCCUGAUUCCCUUAAAGCAUGUGCAGCCUGGCAUUUGGGGGACCAUCGAGGAGCUCCGUGAGAAAGCCUUCUAAUACUCUCUUUUCCAUCAAAAUACAGAAAAGAAAAACUCACUCCCUUAAAACAGGAUUUUUGGUUCACAAAUCAGAAGAAGGGGAUGCAGGAAGGGGCCUUCCUCCUGGAGAGUCAUGCAUCAUGCUGAGAGCGGCCUGUGAGCUGUGAGGUGGCAAUCUCCAGCAAAGAGCAGCAUGAAAGUGCUGCAGAGCUAUGACAGCUGACACCAGUUGAAGCCUACUACACUCCAGCUUGCUGAUGUUUUCAAACAGCACAGCCCCAUCAGAGCAGCAGCAAGGAGUUCAGCUGUGAAAGAAUGCAACCAGACUGCACUGUACAGCAUGGACAUGUGGACAUGUUGAAGGAAUUGUCACAGCUGUACCAAGGCUAACUUCGCUGGCAGGAACCUGCCAUCCCAAGCUCACCAUGGACCCCCCAGCCAAAGCACGUGGACCAGAGCAUGCUACUCCUAAUAGAAAACCACUUGGGUCUGCAGGGGCUGCACCACCACAAUUUUGUUGCAAGAACACAUUUUUGGGAAAAAUUCCACUGAAAUUUUAACUCAAAUGAAUGGAAAAUUCCAAUCUAUACCAUCAGCUAGUCCUCUUAGUCAGUACUUGCUGACUAGCUCUAAUUACUAUUAUGUCAGCCAUUGAGAAGUAGCCAAGUACGACAACAUUUACUGAAAAUUAACACCAGAGCCAGCUGCUUUGUGGCUUAUCUAGUCCUGCUGCCCUUCUUUCAGAUAGAUGUUGUUUAAUGUUGUCUUUGAUUAUUUACAAAGUAGAGAGGACUUUGCCCUCUGAUGAGUGUCCCUUGUUUUGCUUCUUUCCAAAUCCAAAACUGAAACAUGUAUUGAUUGUUUCUGUGUUUUUUUUCUUUCUAUAUCAUUCCAGUAUUCUUGGUAUGUCUAUUCAAUUAUACAGCUUUUUGCCUGCUAGAAUCUCUAAUACAUAUUCAUUGCUUUGUUUUUUGUCCUUGAAUACAUGUUUUUUUUCCUUUUCUCUAGCUACUCUCAGUCACUUGCAUUAACUGUAUCAGUUUAAUUAAACAAGUUCAGGCCACAGGGAAUUUACAGCUCAAGAAACAUGAAGAUGGAGCAAAGGAGAUGCUGUAGGGAAUUAGGGAGGCAUAAUCACCGGGAGAAGAUCCAUGAGGGUUUCAAGGACUUCGUGUCCUGAGCAGAGGUGGUGGUGUGGGCUUUGGAAUGAUGAGAUGGGAUGAAAGAAUGAGAGGAUGCUGAGGGCACCCUUGGAUGCAGUGCAGGUACCAUUCAUGUUAACAAGUGUCUGGGCCUGCUAGCAGGCAGCUGUGGGAACAGAAUGGCUGGCAUGCGGAAUGCAGUUCUCACGUGAGCUCACUGAUGCUGGACAGAUCCAUGUAUUUUGGGCUAUGACUAUACAUCAGACAAAUAUGUAGCAGCAGGAAAAUCUAUAGCUGCAACGAUAGGAAGUAUUCAUACAGAGCAGUACCAUCUGGUGCACACUCCUAAGAGAGGCUAUACUUAGCUGCUGCACUGCAUAUCUGGGUUAAUCCCAUGCUCCAAAGAACGACGCAUUCAGUGUCAUGCAGAUAGCCCCACUUUUAACACCAGCCAUUCUCUAUCUGAUGAUGUCUGCGAAGCUCCAUGAAUAGAUACAAAACAGAGUAUGUAUCAUGGUUAUUGUAUGAAGAGACUGCCGUGUAUGCUCUCUCAUUCAUCUGCUGAUUUAUGUGUACACACCUUUCUCUCUUAAAAGGGAGCUUAGGUUUAGUGAUGCUCAUGUCAAGGCUUAGUUUGUCUCUCUCUGAUUUUUCAAAAUAUUCCUUCUCUUGCUAGCCUAAAACAGAAGAAAAAGAUCUGCAGUCCUUGAAAAAUUCAUUUAUUGUAAAUCAAUGAACAGUUUUGUAAUAAAAAUCCUCAUUGUCAACGUGACAGGACAAACAAGAAAAUGCAACAUCCUCCAUUCCCAGCAGUGCUAACAAGUUUGUGUGCAAUGCUAGCCUUACUCCCACCAACAGCUGCAUGUUGCUGUGAGCAAUGCUUGUUAACUGGAAUAUCUGACAAGUUACAGACCCUCUACCUUUAUGCUGGACACCAAUAUUUUUGUGCCAUUAAAAGGUAGUGACUAGA